rnacentral:rRNA from 1 species
UACGUAGGGUGCAAGCGUUGUCCGGAAUUAUUGGGCGUAAAGAGCUCGUAGGCGGUUUGUCGCGUCUGCUGUGAAAACUCGGGGCUCAACUCCGAGCUUGCAGUGGGUACGGGCAGACUAGAGUGCGGUAGGGGAGACUGGAAUCCUGGUGUAGCGGUGGAAUGCGCAGAUAUCAGGAGGAACACCGGUGGCGAAGGCGGGUCUCUGGGCCGUAACUGACGCUGAGGAGCGAAAGCAUGGGGAGCGAACAGG